GAGGGAAACAACCCAGAACAUCUCUGGAAACAAUAUUUUCACUACCAGAUUUACGAGCAGAUUCUUCUCGCCAUCCUACUAUGAAGAGGGGAGUGAGCAAGGAGCUACAUGAGCUCUGUGGAAAUGCUGGCAUUGCGAUGUGGACACCAAAAAUGAGCCUAGAGCACCACAAUCAGUACUUUCACCUAUGUGAUGUACGCAGCAGACAACCACUUCUGUGAUGAACCGAGUAAACAACAAGUUCCUGGGAAGACAACUGCAGGAUUUUUCUGGACUGUUUUGA